AGUGAACGCUGGCGGUAGGCCUAACACAUGCAAGUCGAACGGCAGCACAGUAAGAGCUUGCUCUUACGGGUGGCGAGUGGCGGACGGGUGAGGAAUACAUCGGAAUCUACUUUUUCGUGGGGGAUAACGUAGGGAAACUUACGCUAAUACCGCAUACGACCUACGGGUGAAAGCAGGGGAUCUUCGGACCUUGCGCGAUUGAAUGAGCCGAUGUCGGAUUAGCUAGUUGGCGGGGUAAAGGCCCACCAAGGCGACGAUCCGUAGCUGGUCUGAGAGGAUGAUCAGCCACACUGGAACUGAGACACGGUCCAGACUCCUACGGGAGGCAGCAGCGGGGAAUAUUGGACAAUGGGCGCAAGCCUGAUCCAGCCAUACCGCGUGGGUGAAGAAGGCCUUCGGGUGGUAAAGCCCUUUUGUUGGGAAAGAAAAGCAGCAGGUUAAUACCCCGCUGUUCUGACGGUACCUAAAGAAUAAGCACCGGCUAACUUCGUG
rnacentral:rRNA from 1 species